UACGAAGGGGGCUAGCGUUGUUCGGAAUCACUGGGCGUAAAGGGCGCGUAGGCGGCUUUAUAAGUCGGGGGUGAAAGCCUGUGGCUCAACCACAGAAUUGCCUUCGACACUGUAGAGCUUGAGACCGGAAGAGGUAAGUGGAACUGCGAGUGUAGAGGUGAAAUUCGUAGAUAUUCGCAAGAACACCAGUGGCGAAGGCGGCUUACUGGUCCGGUUCUGACGCUGAGGCGCGAAAGCGUGGGGAGCAAACAGG
rnacentral:rRNA from 1 species